AUCGCUUCUCAGCCUGUUGGCUAAGCUCAAGUGUAGUAUCUGUUCUUAUCAGUUUAAUAUCGAUAUGUCCUCUAUCCGAGGACAAUAUAUUAAAUGGGUUUUUGGAACAGGGAUAUGGAAUAGGAGCUUGCUCUGUCCACUCCACGCACCAACCUGGUAUUGCAGUACCUCUAGGAACCGUACACCAAAA
rnacentral:snRNA from 1 species